rfam:Gossypium arboreum cultivar AKA8401 contig_34594_3, whole genome shotgun sequence.
AUUCCAUGAUGAGGGCAAUUUUGUAAUAACUUUUUAUACCUUUCCCAUGCUUCAUACAAGGACUCAUAAUCCAUUUGUUGGAAGGCAGUGAUCUCGUUCCUCAACUU